CAGUCGUACCUUCGGGUAAGCAGCCUUUCGGGUGUGAUUCUGUGGAGUUUGAGGAGCUUAACACCUUCAUGCUAUGCAUAUUCGUGCUCGUUGGGUGUUACUUGUCUGUGU
rnacentral:rRNA from 1 species